rnacentral:rRNA from 1 species
GAUGAACGCUGGCGGCGUGCCUAAUACAUGCAAGUCGAGCGAACAGACGAGGAGCUUGCUCCUCUGGCGUUAGCGGCGGACGGGUGAGUAACACGUGGAUAACCUACCUAUAAGACUGGGAUAACUUCGGGAAACCGGAGCUAAUACCGGAUAAUAUAUUGAACCGCAUGGUUCAAUAGUGAAAGACGGUUUUGCUGUCACUUAUAGAUGGAUCCGCGCCGCAUUAGCUAGUUGGUAAGGUAACGGCUUACCAAGGCAACGAUGCGUAGCCGACCUGAGAGGGUGAUCGGCCACACUGGAACUGAGACACGGUCCAGACUCCUACGGGAGGCAGCAGUAGGGAAUCUUCCGCAAUGGGCGAAAGCCUGACGGAGCAACGCCUCGUGAGUGAUGAAGGUCUUCGGAUCGUAAAACUCUGUUAUUAGGGAAGAACAAAUGUGUAAGUAACUAUGCACGUCUUGACGGUACCUAAUCAGAAAGCCACGGCUAACUACGUG